rnacentral:lncRNA from 1 species
UGUAUCAAACUCAACAGAACCUCCAGUGCACAGUUUUUUUUUCAGGGAUCCAUGUGUUAUCCGAGAAUCUCAAUUCAAUGAAUUAAGAAAGAGACAUAUCCACAGCCAUGGUCAAGUCAGUGCUUGUUAGGUUAUUCUCGCAUCGCAGAGUUUUUUGAGAUCCCUCUUACAUCUCAGCAAGCAUUAUUCAUGAGACUACAAAGCUCUUGUCUGCCAUGUGCAUUCAUUCAUGUUCAAAGCUUGCAAAGGAAUGCUACUUGGUUUCAUGUUCAAGGAAAUACUGCCAUAGGAUCAUUUGCUUUUUGUACUGACAAAGAGACAAAAUGUACCCUGUGACAUUAGGUCAGUUCAGUCAUUGGGGCCCUUGA